GAGUUUGAUCCUGGCUCAGAUUGAACGCUGGCGGCAUGCCUUACACAUGCAAGUCGAACGGCAGCACGGGAGCUUGCUCCUGGUGGCGAGUGGCGAACGGGUGAGUAAUGCAUCGGAACGUAUCCUGGAGUGGGGGAUAACGUAGCGAAAGUUACGCUAAUACCGCAUAUUCUGUGAGCAGGAAAGCGGGGGACCUUCGGGCCUCGCGCUCUUGGAGCGGCCGAUGUCGGAUUAGCUAGUUGGUGAGGUAAAGGCUCACCAAGGCGACGAUCCGUAGCAGGUCUGAGAGGAUGAUCUGCCACACUGGAACUGAGACACGGUCCAGACUCCUACGGGAGGCAGCAGUGGGGAAUUUUGGACAAUGGGGGCAACCCUGAUCCAGCCAUGCCGCGUGAGUGAAGAAGGCCUCGGUU
rnacentral:rRNA from 7 species